UACAGAGGGGCAAGCGUUGUUCGGAAUUACUGGGCGUAAAGGGCGCGUAGGCGGCCUGCUAAGUCGAACGUGAAAUCCCUGGGCUCAACCCAGGAACUGCGUCCGAUACUGGUUGGCUUGAAUCCGGGAGAGGGAUGUGGAAUUCCAGGUGUAGCGGUGAAAUGCGUAGAUAUCUGGAGGAACACCGGUGGCGAAGGCGACAUCCUGGACCGGUAUUGACGCUGAGGCGCGAAAGCCAGGGGAGCAAACGGG
rnacentral:rRNA from 1 species